rnacentral:rRNA from 1 species
GACGAACGCUGGCGGCGUGCUUAACACAUGCAAGUCGAGCGGUAAGGCCCUUUCGGGGGUACAUGAGCGGCGAACGGGUGAGUAACACGUGGGUGACCUGCCCUUAGCUCUGGGAUAAGCCUGGGAAACUGGGUCUAAUACCGGAUAUGACUCCAUGACGCAUGUUGUGGGGUGGAAAGCCUUGUGCGGCUGGGGAUGGGCCCGCGGCCUAUCAGCUUGUUGGUGGGGUAACGGCCUACCAAGCCUA